rnacentral:rRNA from 1 species
UACGGGAGGCAGCAGUGGGGAAUAUUGCACAAUGGGCGCAAGCCUGAUGCAGCCAUGCCGCGUGUAUGAAGAAGGCCUUCGGGUUGUAAAGUACUUUCAGUCGUGAGGAAGGUGUUAAGGUUAAUAACCUUAGCAAUUGACGUUAGCGACAGAAGAAGCACCGGCUAACUCCGUGCCAGCAGCCGCGGUAAUACGGAGGGUGCGAGCGUUAAUCGGAAUUACUGGGCGUAAAGGGCACGCAGGCGGUUAAUUAAGUUGGAUGUGAAAUCCCCGGGCUUAACCUGGGAAUGGCAUUCAAGACUGGUUAGCUAGAGUCUUGUAGAGGGGGUAGAAUUCCAUGUGUAGCGGUGAAAUGCGUAGAGAUGUGGAGGAAUACCGGUGGCGAAGGCGGCCCCUGGACAAAGACUGACGCUCAUGUGCGAAAGCGUGGGGAGCAAACAGGGA